rnacentral:rRNA from 1 species
CCUACGGGUGGCAGCAGUGAGGAAUAUUGGUCAAUGGGCGGACGCCUGAACCAGCCAAGUCGCGUGAGGGAUUAAGGCCCUGCGGGUCGUACACCUCUUUUGCCGGGGAGCAGUGGUCCGGACGCGUCCGGACCGGGAGAGUACCCGGAGAAAACGCAUCGGCUAACUCCGUGACAGCAGCCGCGGUAAUACGGAGGAUGCGAGCGUUAUCCGGAUUUAUUGGGUUUAAAGGGAGCGUAGGACGGUCUUUUAGCGUGCCGUGAAAUUUUGUGGCUCAACCAUGAGAGUGCGGCGCGAACUGGAGACCUUGAGUGCGCGGAAGGCAGGCGGAAUUCGUGGUGUAGCGGUGAAAUGCUUAGAUAUCACGAAGAACCCCGAUUGCGAAGGCAGCCUGCCGCAGCGUUACUGACGCUGAAGCUCGAAAGCGCGGGUAUCGAACAGGAUUAGAUACCCGGGUAGUC